CAGAGGCACCCAGAGCAGGUGACACAGGAAAGCAUCCAGCAAAUGCAACUAUUGUUCUUGACAAACACAUGAUUUACAAAAUGAAGAAUAAAGAAUUAUGCCAGCUAGAGAGAGAGAGAAGGGAGAUGAAACAAGCACAGUAAUACACAGGAGGCAAAAAGAAAGAGCGAGAACAUUACGUUCAUCAGCCACGGACCCAAAUUAGCUUGGGAAAGAGAUGUGGAAAUUGGAUUAACUCCUAUGAAAACAUCAGGAACAACAGUGCUCAGCUCAGGAAUCUCCUCUGCUGCACCAGCACCAAACACAUCCUGGGAUCGUGGCAGCUGGACAUGGGGGACUGCUGAGUGGUGGGAAUUAUUGGUGCCCAAAGGACUCACCUGCAGCAUGGACCUGGAUGUGGAUGUGGCUGGAAAAGCCUUUGUUCCCCAUCCCACUCUGUACCUGGUUUAGCUCCGUUCCCAGCCGGGCCCAACCCACGGCUCAGCCCUGGAUCAUUCCCUCAUCGGGAUCCAUUCCUGCCUGGAAUUCUGAAACACCAGUGACAGUGGUUCUCUAGGACUUGUGUCAACCUGUGCCAGUGCUUUCCUGGGAUUUGGACACAGGAAUAUGUGAGGAUGCUCUUCCUUCUCCACCCCGCUUCGUCCCAUGAACUGCUUACACGAAACCAGGAAAACUCGGCAAGAGAGGAGAAAAAAAUCGGUCUGGACUGAAAGCAAACUACUCCUGCCCCCCCAGCAGUGCCGUCAUCCACCGAGGGAAGGAAGCGGGGCCACGGAAACACCGGGAAGUACAACACCUAAACGCUCCCAGGAGCUUGGACACAGCUCUGGGAUGGGGUGGGAUGGGAGGCAGCGGGGGCUCGGGGAGCCACGGACACGCCCGAGGGACACCGGCGACCGGAGCGACGUGGGACGGAAAAACGGGAGCCACUGCACCCCAAAACAGCGGGAAUGGGAACCCAGCGGAGCAGGGCCAUGGAGCUGCCCCACGGAGCCGUGGGGUCCCACCCGGGCCGGAGGGGACGAGCCCGGAGGAGCCCAGAGGUAGGUGCUGCGUGCCCGGGAACGCGGGAGCCCAGCCCAGGGAAUCGUCAUCCUCGGGGUCAUUCCUUCGGACACGCACCGUGGGACCUGGGACAGGAGCAAGGAGUUGGGAUCCUGGCACCCUGGAGAGCCCAGGGAGCUGAUCGCUGCCAGUCCUCGCUAGAGAGCGACACCGGGAAUGCGGGGGGAAGGAAUCUGAGGUAAGUGGUGAUCCCGGAUGAAGGACUCCAGCCCGGGACUGGGAAUGGUGAGCAGAACUAUCCCAGGAAGCCUUGAGGAUGCCACGGCUCCCCUCGCCAUCCCCACCGUCCGUGGGGAAAAAGAAAAAUGAAAUCCAAUGGAAAGAAUGUUGUGCUACACUCCCGUUGGUUAAGUUUAUAAUGGCUCAUAGCUUUAGACUUUUAAAUCUGUAGUGUAUUAAUUUCUUCUUUUUUCUACAUAUGUUUCACAUUUCUCACUUAAUAUAACAUAAAUAAUUUGGUUAAUAGAUUUAACCUGCGCAUUUCAGCCACAUUAAUAUAUAUAAGAAUCUGUUAAUGGUAUAAAUAAUUCUUUUUAAAUAAAAUAAAUCUGAUAUGUUACAUAAUACUGAUAAAAAUCACUGCUGCUAAUAAGUUUUGUAAGCCACCCUUAACUCCUUUUUGUGUUUCAAUACCGAGGGAUGGAUAGCGGGAUUACCUUUUCCAGAGCAUUGCCCUUCCAUUCUACUGCCAAACCAACUGGAACCAACACUGAUCCCUUCUCAAAGCAGGGCCUCUGCCCCCCUGCAGGGUUAAUGAAGUUAGACAAUCUCGGCUAAUUAAUCCAGGGGUCAAUGUUACGGGGGGGGGGGUAUCGACUGGUUAGUUCCUCAGGGGGCUCUGAAACCUCACCUACAGAACUGCUUGACUAAAACAGGCCUCCUACUGUUCCUUUGUCCUCUUCAGUCCAACCUACAGCAUCCUACUGGAAAAGCUACGGAAACCAAAAGCAACCGAUGGCUGCGGCCUUGGAAUUCUCCAUCAGAGCUGCGAUCCCACAUCCCAUGAGGAAUCUGCACUCUCCUGCAGGGACCUGAGUGGAGUACAGCACUUCCAGGCAAGGUUCAUUCCAAACAGACAGGAUCCAUGAACACUCAGUGGCGUGAAGGGGAUGUCAUAAUUAAGACAUCUCUGCUCCUGCUGCUGCACCUCCCUUGGGCUCCUCUGACAUCCAACAGCCAAGAAAACAAGGAAAGGAAGGUGUAAGAUUCCUCCUUUCUCCUGCUGGGGAAACCCCAGCCUGGCUGCUCUCCAACACACCCAUUAUUGCUCUGAACACCCCCAUGGAAACCAAAAUCAAACGAUGUCUAAGCCAGAGAACAGGGAGAAGCACAAAUCCCAACAGCAAACAAUUGUCACAAUGCAGGAGGGGCACGUUUGGUACACAAACACUUCCAGAGAUGUUUCAGGGAAGCUCCACGGAAAAGAGGAUUUCCAGAAGUGCUGCAGGUGACUCCCACCAUGGAUGUGACUGAAGGGCAGAACUCCUGAAGCCCAUUUGGUUUUAAAGGCGAUUUCUUUUUGGUUUUCCAGGUUAUUUCUCUUGGUUUGGUGUGGGUUUUUUUUUUCCCUGUAUCCCACCUUUCACCCCCAACUCCUGCCCUUUGGAAUGGCCGUUCACUCUGUGCUUCUUGAUGGAGACAAUCAGACACACUUUUAAAAUUUUUUUUUAAAAUUUAAACUGAUUAAAUUAAAGGUCUUCUGAUGCCAGAGGUGAUCCAUGACUUCCUGAUGAGGGACUUGAAGGGGUACCUUGACAGGAGCAUUCCCAGGCUUUGCUUCCCUGGUUUUUGGGCUUCAGCACCCAAUGAAAUGGGUGCCACUGGAUUUCUCUCACACAAUAUUCAUGGAAUGCACACAAACCCCACAAAAACAAAGGAGGCAGGUUUGCACAAAGCAACAACACGUUCUGGUGCCCCCAAACCAGGGAGGAAACACGGAAUCGCCAAGGAAUGGAAAGCAAAAUAAAUUCACCUCUUUACAGGAGUUCUAAAACCAAAACUCUUCAGUUAUAUCCAGCACAACUAUAUCAGUCACAGAGAUGUGGAUACACAAUUUUGGAAGUUAAUACAUAAAUCCAUACUGGGAACAUGUGAGAGCCAUAACUGUGUUCCUGAUUCACACGGGACAGGGAUAUUGUACAUCUGAUUUUUCCAGUUUUGUUUAAUCUUUAAUAGUUUGGGGUCUUCUCCUGUGCCUGCACUUUGUAAACUGACUGGAAAUUUGGGGAUGUGACCAUCCCAGGGACUGAGCUUUGCAGCCUUGUCCUGGUUUGGGCUGGGACAGAGUUACACCAGGACAAGCUCUGGAAUAUUGUCACCUGCAAAGAGAGACUGAAGUUCUCCUGAAUUAGGGUGCAACAACCCCGGUUAUUUUAUAAGAACUACAAAGAUAAAAUGUUAUACAAGUAGUGGAGACCAGACUUGGAAAUAUUUACUGUAACAAAGUAACCAAUAACUCCUCGAUAA